UCUUCUGUAGUUCAGUCGGUAGAACGGCGAACUGUUAAUCCGUAUGUCACUGGUUCGAGUCCAGUCAGAGGAGCCA
rnacentral:tRNA from 1 species